rnacentral:rRNA from 1 species
AUGAAAUUAUCUACUCUAGCUGUCUGUAAUUUAUCCUUGUGCUUGAGUGACUGUAAACUGGAGGAUAUGGGCUGUUUUGGGGAUCCAUUCACUUGGAGAAGGGGGGACAUCAGUGAAAGGCUUGAUCGAGCUAUCUGUAAUUUAGAAUGGGCAAGUAAAUUUCCGCGUGCUGCUGUUAUUAAUGGGGAGCAUGUACACUCGAACCAUCGCCCUUUAAUUCUUGAUACAGAUUAUUUUGACAGUAACUUGUUUAAUCGUGGAACGGUCCCGUGA